rnacentral:rRNA from 1 species
ACAGCAAGUAGUCAGAGCCCGUUAAUGGGUGAUGGCGUGCCUUUUGUAGAAUGAACCGGCGAGUUACGAUUUGAUGCAAGGUUAAGCAGUAAAUGUGGAGCCGUAGCGAAAGCGAGUCUGAAUAGGGCUUUUAGUAUUUGGUCGUAGACCCGAAACCAGGUGAUCUACCCUUGGUCAGGUUGAAGUUCAGGUAACACUGAAUGGAGGACCGAACCGACUUACGUUGAAAAGUGAGCGGAUGAACUGAGGGUAGCGGAGAAAUUCCAAUCGAACCUGGAGAUAGCUGGUUCUCUCCGAAAUAGCUUUAGGGCUAGCCUCAAGUGAUGAUUAUUGGAGGUAGAGCACUGUUUGGACGAGGGGCCCCUCUCGGGUUACCGAAUUCAGACAAACUCCGAAUGCCAAUUAAUUUAACUUGGGAGUCAGAACAUGGGUGAUAAGGUCCGUGUUCGAAAGGGAAACAGCCCAGACCACCAGCUAAGGUCCCAAAAUAUAUGUUAAGUGGAAAAGGAUGUGGCGUUGCCCAGACAACUAGGAUGUUGGCU